ACUAGCGGGCAGUGAAAUCUUUGCUUUGUGUGCUAAAGUCAACAGUCGCUCGGUUUGAGCUCAAAUAAAUGCGGAGAUGCCUCGGCUCAGAGCAGUCGGCCNCCUCCCUUCGAGCGCUGGACGCUCCGCCGCCCGCCAGCCCGCCGCACCACAGGUAGGGAGCGCGCCCACUCGGGGGCCGCGCCCGGGUCCCCUGGGCAGCGUCCGCCCCCCAUUCCCCUCCGCGCGCCUCCCCUCCCCCAGUCAGCCCCUUUCCCUUCCAAGGGCCCCGACGCUAGGGGUUGGGGGUGGGGAGGUAGAGAAUGAGAAGCUAAGUCGGUGAAGACCCUGGAGUUUGGAAGGUGGCCUAUUUGUGCGGGGAUUUCUGAGAAUACACGGUGUGGGUGGACGACGGGGCGAAGAGCUGCAAACAGACUCAAUCUGGGCUCUGAGCACAUAGAGUUGGGUUGGGGCCCCGAAGCUACGGGAAGCCACUACAGGCUUCUGCAGCCCAUCCGGGGUGAGGACUCGAUCCGACAGACGCGCGUUUCCCAAGGACAGUGAGGGGGUAGGGGAUGGGGGAACGCCCUUGGCCCCAGAGUCAGGGGUGGAGGCAGCGGAAAACGGCAUGCUGGUAUCCCGUGGCUGCAUCGGCAGAGGCCCGAGAGUGGCGAAGCCCUCCCCGCCUUCCCCGGCGCGCAGGGGUUCUAGUCUGGUCUAGGCGUUUCCCUAGAAGCCCACAGACCGGGCAGCAUUGGGGUCAACGCCUCGAGGCAGCAGGAUUGGGACAGGGCCUUCCCCGAGAAAGGAGUAUAUUUUCGUUCUCGCUGCAAGAAGCGGCGGGUGCCCUUUACGCACAGAAGCGCACGGCUGCAGUUUCGGGAGCCUCGGGGGUUACAAGCGGGGCCCAGCGGGGGAAGGGUGGAGAGAGAAACGCGCCACCGGGCAAUUAAUCCUCAUUCUCCCAGAGGCUGGCCCCGGGUAGGGGCGCGCUGCGGUGCGGGAGGAGAGGAGUUUGGAGGACCACACAGAACCAAUUGCAUCUUUCUCCCGCCUGUGGGAAGGCACCAGCUUGGAAAACUAGAAGUUCCAAAGCUGCCAGUUGUAACUGCAGGAUCGUCGGGUAUCGAGGCCAGGGUAUGGGGUACUGAGAAGGCGUGUUUCUUCUGGGAUCUUCCAGGUGUCCCCUGAAAUUAGCAUUCCCCUGGAGGUGUUUACUUUAAAGGGCUAGACAUCCCGCCUUGUUUGAAGCCCGCGCAGACUUCUAGGUAUUUCACCAGGCGGGGAGACAAGCGCUCUUUCCGUCCUCCCCGCGGUCACCAGAUCCCGGGACCCAAGGGGCAGAAAUAGGAAUCGAUCCCUGUAACUGGCAGGGUCAGUUAUGUGGGCACCUCUGUGUGGGGACCAUGCCCCCCUCCCCGUCUUCCCUGGCAUCCGGGACCGCGCACCUUUGUCCGCGCACCGGAGGCCGCUUGGGGAGCGCACCCGCCGCCCUCCAAGCCGCGGUUCCGGCUGGCGGCUAGUUAUCUUCCCUAAACAAGAUGGAACGCCUGCAGGACACACGCCUAGGCUAAUCGUUUUUAAAUAAUUAAUGCCUCCCCGUUCCGCUGGUAAUGCGCGGCCUCGAAUCCGUCAAUUACUUGUCAUUAGACGAGUGUCGCCCCACGGCCUUCCCUCGGGCCUUUGAUGGCGCCCGGUCACCCAGCCCAGCCCACUCACGGCCGAAUGAAAAAGUGCCCGGCCUUGAAGAGCCGGGUGCGGAGUAGCCACGGCCCUCGAUUCAGUGCGAGUUUUGAAAGAAAGACCUUAGUUGAAGAGAUGUAAUCUUCCAAAUGGCCAAUUUAAACGCCUGAUCUUUAUCGCCCGCCUUCUCCCGGCUUUAUAAAGAAAAGCCGGUCCUCAGUGUUUUGGGGGCCUUUUAAUGUGGGGGUGGGGCGAGGAGAAGCGAAAGAUGAGGCUUAAUAGGGCACGGGGCAGGUGUUUGCUCAAGAAGGUUCCUGGAGGCACCUCGGGGUAACUAGUUUUCUAGCGCAUCCUUCUAAGCAUCAGGGGCCUGGACCAAGUACUGGCUGCCGGCUUUGAAGGCCGGUGCGCCGGGACAAGUCUUCUGGAAUGUAUAAACCAGAACCGUCCGGAGAAAGCGUCAGGACCUUUUCAGGCAGUGCAUCUUCACCCUUCAAGAGGUAAUAGGACCCCCCACCCACCAUGGGCCUGACAUCACAGAACAGUGGUGCCUGUUGAUGCCCAGGGACUUGUAGGUACCAAGUCCUGCCGCCCAGAAGAGGCGCCCAACAUACACGCCUUAGAGGCACCAUCCCAAAUUUGCUGUCCCUGUCGUAGCACAAGAGCUUGAUUUCAGACCCCAAAUGCCUUUGCUGGGUCAGGGACACUGUGGAGACCCGCCUUGGCCACAGCACCAUGGCCAGCCAAGGGGUGGUGGAAUGAAAUUAAAAUGAAAACGAAAACAGAAGAGAAAAUUUCCCCAAAGUUUGCUACUGAUUUCAUUACGUUUCUGCUGCUCCCUAUCCCCCCCAUCAAAGGUGUUUUUUGUUUGUUUGUUUUUGUUUUUGUUUUACAGUAAAUAAAUUGUCAAGGUUUCAGAACCUUACAUGCCUCCUUGGAGCAAAAACCAUGUGCUGUAUCUGCACCACUCUCAGCUUUACAGAUCACAAGUUUCUCAUAACCUCAACUCCCAGGAAUGGUUUGCCUCUAAGAAGAGAAUAGAAGACAUGAGGGGUGGAGGGGGAAGAAAUCAUGAGGAGAGUGGGAGAAACUUUUUAAACAUAUAGAGAGAUGGAGAAAGGGUGAUUGGAACGUGCCUGUGUGCCUGGUUGUCCCCAGAGGACCCUGGGCUGUACUUUAGGCCUUUGACUUCAGACCUACAGCCUUUCUAGAGCAUUCCACAAAGAUUGGAAUUUUUUGAAAAAUUCCUUUUUGAUGAGAUUCACCGGAUAUGGGCAGGAAGUUGCAGGCACCUCCAGAGACAAGCAAACACAAAUUACACGGAAUAGAUAUAUGUCCCCACUGGAGCUCAGCAGGGUCCCCACCUCCAGGCAAGCUUGGUUUCUUCUCCCUUUGACAAAACUCCCAGGGAGCGCCCUACCCCGGAGCUCUCCAGGGGUUGCCUCGGAAGCCUAAAUCCUGGGGCAUCUUCCCCAUUCUGUUCACAGCCUUCCUGCCCACUCUCUUAUCCUUUUUCUCCUUUCUUCUUUAAAACAAUCAUGUGUGUCCCCCCCUUGCCCCCUCUCGCCAUUGUAUUUGUUGAUGACCUAACACGCUCACACCAAAAGCCACACACAGAAAACCAACAACGUGGGAUGGGAGGAGAGACCAAUUAUGAUUGAGGCUAACAAGCGGGGAACACCCAAGUUGAGGCCGGCUGUCUCCUGGGAGACUGAUGGAGGCUUAUUUUACAAGCUGUCAUUCCGUCCUGGUCCCUAUUGCCAGAUUGGAGGUGAUUCCUAUUCUCCCCUCCCCCUCAGCCCCUGCACCCUUGGGGCUUAUUCCAGAUUCUUUGUAUAUCCUCUGCAGAAGCAGCCCCCCAAGUCCCUCUCCUGCACAGGUGGAAAGAGCAGCACAUCCUCACAACAGCAUGCCUAUUUUUCACAUCAGUGAUUGUUCCUGAGAUUUCUGAGCUCAUUGCCAGCAAGAUGUGGACUGGUCAGAUGUCACUGUCACACAUGCCCCGUCCUCCUCACCAGGUUCCCAUUAAAAGGCAUUGACUACUUACCCUUUACACUCUUCCCCUCUUCCUGCCUCUUCCUCUUUUGCCCCUCCUACUCCUUCUUUUUCUAUCCCCCCUCCCACCACCACCAAAGAAGGAGGGAUAUUUUACUGUCAGAUAACACAACUGAUAGCUGGGAAUGCUAAAAGAAGCAAUACAAAUUAAGUUGCUUUCAUUCAUCCAAAACUAGAGGUCUCACAUUCUCAUUAGAGUAACUGCCUGGGGUUUACUCCUCUCUUGAAGCUAAUUAGAGGCAGUAAUAUUCCCUCUGAUGUCAGGACAUCAUUCGAGCAACAUCAUAUUUAUUUAACUUUAACAUAUCAAAUUAACUGAGAGGGGAAAUUUCAGCAUCACCGACAUGGGUGAAGAAGAAAUGCUCGAGUACAAUGCCAUUAGAACCUCGGAAUGAGAGAUCUUUGCUGUGGUUUAGUUCCCCUUGCAGAAUGGGUUCUGCUUCUGCUUGCUUAAGUGGUUGAGGACCAGACUUCCUUCACAGGUAAAUCAGCUCUUCCAUCGUUUCAUUUAUCUGAAAAGAGUAAAACCACAAAGUUCAAGAGUAAGCAGGAAGGUUUUUGGACCAGGGUUGGUAAUGACCCCAGCAAAUCAAAAUAAGAUUGUGUGUGUGUUUUGACUUGUUAUUUCAUUAGAAAGACGAUCUCAGUUCAUUAGCUGUUCUUUUUUUUCACAAAGCACAAGUAAUUAUACAGUGGAUUUUGUUGGGAAAAUUUUGCUCAUGUGAAAAAGGACACACAUUUCUAAUUUGAAGACAUGGAUGUUAAGAGCAUAUUAUUGGAAGAGGAAACAUAAUACUGAGAAGUGUCUGGAGAAGGCUUGAGAAGAGUUAAGGCAUGAAGUGGGUGGCUGGAGUACUGGGAAGGGCAGAGGAUGAUUAUGUGUCAUUUUCCAUGAAGGAACAGGGUGACAUGUCAGCUAGGGCAGGACCUGGAUCAUAAGAACUUCUAUAUGGAGACAAAUUAGGAUGUAAUAUGUGGACCCCCCUGGUACAAAAAUAUGCAACCAUCUGCUCAAACUUUCUGCUUGCUUUGUCUUCUAAAGCCUAAGCUAAGGAAUUUAAAACAAAAAAAGACCAAUCCAUUAUAUAUUUUUCAUUUAGUCUGCAAUUCUCUAUUACAUUGAACCGAGCUGUUCACACACAGAAGUUGUAACUUCAACUGCUUGUUAGCUGAGAAAAUGCAUCCUCUAUGCAGAAGAGUCCAUUUUUUUGGCAAAACUUUUGCCUUUCAUUCUUCCUUCUUGGUGUUUCUCAUCUCCCGCUGCCCCCCCCCCCCCCGCCCAAGUCCCUACCUCUCUUUUCUUUAUCACAAUUGUAUUCACUUCAACCACCAUUGAGUAGGGUCCCACAUGUGCCAGACAAUGUGCUAGGUGUCUUCAUAAACAUGACUUCAUUUAAGCUUCCCCACAUCCCACUGGUAGAUGACAGAAUUUAUGGGAGAUGGACCUGGGGCGGAGAGAAGUUAGGGAACUGCUCAGAUUUCAGAGCUCACCACUGAACUCAAGUCUUGCAACUCUAUGUUUUUUUCAACUUCUUUUGGCCUCCUAGCGGGGGGGGGGGGGGGGGGGUGGUGCACAGACCUCUUUGAUUCAAAUGCAGUAGGAAACCUGCUUCUCCACAACCCCCAACUUUUCACUGUUGGGUGUUGUUGGUAGAGGGGAGGCUGAAUGUUAGGAGAAAGGUGAUAAGAAACAGGAAGAUCUCAGGAAGAAGGAUGGCGGAGACUCCACCUGCUAUCCUAGAAGGGAUUAGGAUGCAUUAUGUCUGGGAUCAGGCUGGAUUCUUAUUUUCUCUUUUGGAGCAACACAGUGUAUUCCUAUGUGACGAUGGUUUCUCAAAGCUGGCCAGAGGUUCAAUCAGAACUGGACCACAACUGCACCACCACUGAAGCUGCUGUAGCCGGCUGGCUAAUGCUGUAGGGGAAGAGAAAGGGAGAGAAUCAGCAGCCUGUGAUUAAAAAGAGAAAAUGCCGGGGAAGAGGGGGAAAAAAUGUCAGGGGCAGAAACAAUGACCUGGCAUCCGGGCUUAAAUAAUGCACAUAGCCCAAUUAUUUCUUGAGGUGUAGCCUGCCGGCCGUAUUCCUUACUGAGAAUUCUGGAGCAGAGGCCAGGAAUGUUCUGAGAGACUCCUGCUUCUGACCUCCCUCUGACCCACACCUGGUGGCCUAACCGCACAGGUGACAGCACAGCUGGAAUGCACGCACCGCCCACAGCUGGGCUUCAGGGCUGCCCUCGCCCCAGCACCAGCUGCAAGAACAGCAAAAGGCCCCAGCCCCCACAGCAUUCCUCCCCCACCCUGCCCCCGCUGUCCACAUAUACACAAAUUCAGAUCCAGAUAAACACCUGCCUCAGAGGUUUGCCACUGAACGGGUGCUGGCCCAGGAGGACCAGCCUGCUUCUGUCACAGAGGGAGGAUAGGAUGUGACCCAGCACUCAGUAGGCCUGCAGUCUGAGAGGAGAGCACACCCCAGCCAAGUUUCAUGUCUGAGCUGCACAUGGUACAUGGAUGUGCAGGGAAUGCUGGCUGAUACCUGCUUGUGCCAGGCCCUGGGGACACAAUGUGGAAUGAACAGGGCCCUCCUGGACACAGGCUUGGACUGGAGGCCUCCUUUUCUUUUCCACUUACUGAAAGAUAAGUUCCCUGGGUGUCCAUGGUUUUUAGUGGUGUGGAGUUUCCUGUAUACUUAGCAUCUUCCAUUUCGGGAUUUGUGGGGAGGCUCUGGACAACUGGAUUCUAAGGCCAGUGCCACACAAAAUGAUGUGUAGGGCAUGGGAAUAACUGACUCUUGGAAGUACACAAAGUUCUAGAUUAAACCAUACUUUUCACUCCAAACUGGACAAUUGCGAUGUUAGGUUGAGGUGGAGACGAUGCAUCCAGAAUGACAGUUACCCACUCUCAGGUUGAGUGCUGAGCUUCCUAGAGACUGCCCGAAAAGGGCAGUCAUCCAAUCUUCUGGCUGUUUAUGGGGACAAGUAGGGGCAGACAUCCAAUCUAUAUUUUGUCCAUCCUCCAUUUAAUGACCACUCCCCUCCCACCAGCAGUUUGCCAAUUAAAGGCCAAUCUCUCUUGAUUUCUUUGCUUUAAAAGGACAUUUCGAUUCAUGCAGCCAAACAAUUAAAUCCCCCUCUUGCCUCUCCCUUCCCAGAGCUCACGAACAAGAUGCUUCCCUAUCUCUUGCCAGCAUUGAGCAGUGGGAAGGAGCUGAUCUCAGGUGCUAACCUGAAGUUAUCAGAAUGCCAGACUCAUUUAGGGAGCUCAACUCUGGAACCCGAGGCGAUCCCUUCAUUGAUUGUGGAAAGCGCUGUUUAGAUUUUGUCAUAGCUCAGUAAACAACCAAAAGUAACUGCGGGAUUUCUGUCUUACAUUCAGCUGAAUCCCUCUCUUUCUCGCGCGCUCUCUCUCUCUCUCUCUGUCACACACACACACACACACACACACACACACACACACACACCACAUACACUCCUCCUCUCCCACAGGCUCCUGUUAAUCAGGAAGGGAUAGUCAGACCAAGGUCCUUUAAGAACACCCUCAUCUAACUCUCCAGCAGCUGAAUCUUUUGUAGGGGAGAGCUACACCUUUCUCCAAGAACUCACAUCUCUCCCAAAAGGCACAGCCUCCCGAGUUCCUAAGUCUGUAGCGAAAGCUCUUGAGAAAGGGUUGUGCCUUUGGGCCCCUUACUCUGCCAUCUCUGAAAGCCCCCACCUGGCUAAAAGACUUGCCAGGGACUUGGCCUCUGUGGCCUCCCUUCCCCCACCCCAGUGCUUCCCUGAGAUCCGGGUUGUCUUUCAUGAGCUUGUUGCAGCUCAGACCCAGCUGCACAAAACUGAGGGUGAGGGGUGGAUUCCCUGUCUGCAAUGCUGGGGCGCUGCUUCUGGGCUGGGCAACACGGUCCUGGAUACAGAUCUCUUUGGGGGUAAAGGCGAAUUAAAUUGGCAAGCUCUACUCUGAUACUCAAACUUCUGCAGUUCUUAGCAAGAUCCCCAUUUAGGCCUCAAUUACUAGUAGAAAAAGAGAAAGAUGCUUCCUAUUGUCCACAAUUUGCCAUUCUCUGAAUAGACCAUUUGUUUUAAUUAGGUCCCCUUCAUUUAGUUCUAUCUGCGGGAGCAGGUUUGCUCUGAAGUGAUUGUGUUGAACGUGCGCACUCUGCCAUCUAUUUGUGUAAAAUAAAUAGAAAGACAUAAUUGCCAGUCAUCACAAUAUAAAAGAUUAGUGCAAAUCCUAAACAAUGAUCAUUUAAAAUUCAAUAAUUCUUAGAAAAAGGAGUCAAAUGAUAAAGCACAGUUUCCCCGAAGGUGUUAGACACAACGGGCCUGCAAUGGAUGUGUGUUUAAAAAUUAAGAAACUUUUUUUCCCCUAAGUUGGUACUAUUUCAAAUGAAAUUCUUUUCUUAUUUGUUUAGAAUGCCUUUCAUAUGAAAAAAAAUUCAAAUCAGAUCACCUCAACUUAAAAUACAGGUCUUCAAUAUUAGCCAGCCUCAAGCAGAAAGCUUUCUAAAAGUCUUGCAAAUCUAAUCCCUGGUUCUAUUCUUCCCAAGAUGCCAAAAUUCUAAUAUCUUUUAUUUUUUAAAGUCCCUAAUUUUGUCUGUGACCUCUCCAAUCUUAGAAAAAUCGGGGGGGGGGUGGAGAAAACAAAUACAGUAAUGUGUAAAUUCUUAGGACUUAAGAUAGGGAUGUAUUCCACAGUAUCGAAAGUUCCACAACAUUUUGCACAUUAAGCAAUUUUUUUUUUUAAACAAGGGGUAGCUCUUGCAAUUAGAUUGCUAUUUUAUUAUACAAGGUACAAACCAAUAAAGUAUGCCAUUUCUUUUCCCCUUCCCUUUUCCUAGUACAAUUUGGGAAGGAGGGUAAAAUGCAUUUUGGGUUUUGAUAUAUUUAUUUUGUGCCAACCAUCUGCAUAUUUCAUGAGGCUCAACUAUUUCUCUGCACAAUGUACGGUCUAUUCUGUGUCCUGAGGAAACGAAAGAAUAACAGACUGCCGGUCCCUCGACCACUUGUGUUACUCUUCAGUUCACAGUAUUCUAGCUCCAUUGUUAUCGAUAGUCCUAUUUUGUUAAAUAUCAGCUUGGCUAUGAUGAAAGCUAAUUAUGCAAUUCCACUUCAUUUCUGCCUCUAAAUUUUAUACUUGAUAAAAUAGCUCAAUGAUGCUAAUUAAAUUUCUGCUUACAAAGAUGAUUUCUUUGUAUUUCUCAAGGUUUGGCUUUCUGGCUAUGAAAUUUACACUAAAAACAUUUCUGGGGGUAGCAAAUAUAUUGAUCAUUUUUGGAUUAAGACUGUUAAAAUAUAUAUUUCAAAUGUUUCUGAGUUAGAAUAGAUCUUAUGUAGAAGAGGGAUUUGUUCUAUUUACCUCUUUCCUUUGUGCAACGUUUGUGCAGAUCCCCCCACACCUGGGAAGUAGUUUAGAUAUUUUGUAAUAGUUCACUACCUCUGGAGCCCAGGCAAAGCCGUGCUAAAUUUUGAAAAAUAAUUCGGGAGACACUCGCAGAUAUUGGGACACAGGGUGUAUGUAACCUCCCAUGGCUGAGACAAGCGAAAUGAUGUUUGGUGCAAGGGGCGAAAAACACGACCUAACAGUGUUUACAUGUGUAUUCAGCCAUGAAAUUGAAUAUUAUCAAAGUUGAAAAAUGCAAAUCAAAUUAAAACCAUGGAAAAUUGUCUUUGGAAUUACAGCGGCCUCGAGACCCCAAGUGUUUGCUUAAAUUGAAGCGUUUAGAAAAUGAAAAACCCUAAAUUGCCCCCUUCUAUUCCCCCCCACCCACACUCCCCCGCCGUAUGAAAUUUGUUCUUUAAUUCUACCAGAAAUGUGUUGAGGCUCAGCCAUCAAUCCUUCCUCCUUGGCAUCAAUCACACUGAAAUAGAACUUUUUCUUAGAAAUUAAUUGUCUCCCUUCACUUAGUGUCACUAAAAUCGGACGUGCUUCAGAAACUGAGCGGCACCGCUUUUCUUCCGAAAUGAGCCCCACACCACAGGCUGCCAGGUUCUUCUCCCUGUAAGUGCCGCUGCCGAGCCUAAGCCACCCAACCUAUACGCUGCGGGCGCUGCUGGCGCUGGUCCGGGAGGGCGGCGGGCGGCGGGGCUGGGGGCCCCGGCCCCACACACGCUUGGCGCAGCCGGGGCUACCGGGCCGCUGGGUCUGCGGAGUAGCGGGCCAAGCCCCGGAGCCUUCGCGCUCAUUCGUUGCGCUUUCCUACGUCGGGGAAGCCUGAAAUAUGGAAACGUGGCACUUUGCUUCGCUAACGCAGGAGUUCCCAGGGUCUUGAUGGAGAAAGACCAAAAGAGGAAGUGUCAAAAAUCUACUUUUUAGAAGUGAGACGUCUAAAAAGUAAUAAGCAGGGGUGGCAGGGCGUGCGGGGGCGGGUCAUUCUUGCCUUUUUCCAAGUUCUAAAGCGCAGGAAACACACGCUUAGAGGCCAACCCAUCAGAUGGGGCCAAUCUCACCCCCAGUCGCCUGGGUGCUGCAAACUUUAGUCCUCUCCCGCCCCUCCCCCAUUUCUCUCCAGCCUGGGAGAAAACCAGCGCGCCAGCCGUUCUCCAGUAGAUGCCAAAUGCGGCCGCGUUCGGAGAGAGCCCGCAGAGCCCUAGUGGCGCAGCAGGAAGUGCAGGUGGAACCGCCGGCGGCGCUCUGCGCGGACCCGGCCUGGGAUCAAGGGUGGCAGCCGGACCCAGGUCGGGUGGAAGCCGGACCCAGGCAGGCGCGCCCACAGAGUUAAUAGGGACUGUGGGGACGCUGGGGAUGCCGGCAAUGGUUAGGUUGUGCUGGCGUGGCCUUGGAAAACUUUCAUCUCAUUUGAUGACCCUCGAGGAUAUUCAUUCCCCACCCUCCCCAACCUGCCUUCCUCUAGUUUGAACAUCCAUCCACCUGGGCAGGUCCGGGAUGGCCAAGGGUGGUCUGGCUUUUUCUCCCAUGGGGAGCAGAGACAAGCGGUGGCCUCCGCGUCACGCAGUCCUCCCUCCGGACCUCCAGCUCAGCCCUUGUAGAUUUGAAGGGCUGAGGCUGUUGCAGAAAUGCAGUAAAUCCAGUCCUACGAACCCAGAUAGGAGCGGGAUGAAGAGUAGCGGAAGCCAAUUUAUAUUUGAAGCCUACCUCUUUAUUGCCUUUCCAUGGAUCAACACUAGCUUUAUUUCCGUUCCAGGGAUCAAGACUAGCUCAACUAUGGCUGAGAAAACAACCCAUGUUCCCCAGAGUUUAAAACCUGCCCAUAAGUUGUGGUCGUGUUUUGGAGAUUCGGGAUCCUAUUUCCAAGGAGAGUUGUCCGGGGCGUGUUUAUGUUUGUUAUUUUCAAAACCAAGCAAAGGAAACAGCAGCCAAUUAAAAUGAAAUAUUUUUAUUUGCCUCCAACGUUGUCAGUGAUUUGCCCCCUGGGGAUCCACAAUUUUCCCAAGCCUGUUAACGGGUGACAAUGAAUGAGUGCCUCGUGUAAUUUAAUUUUCCUGUCACACUAAAUAGAGCUACAUUGUAAACCUUAGAUCUACUCUUACUGAUAGGAUCGCCUUGUUUUGCCAUUUGCACCAUAAAGACCCCCAAAAGGGAC
rnacentral:lncRNA from 1 species